AGUGAACGCUGGCGGCGUGCCUAAUACAUGCAAGUCGAACGGAGUGGCGCACGGGUGAGUAAUAUGUAGCUAAUCUGCCCCUUGCUGGAGCACAACAGUUAGAAAUGACUGCUAAUACUCCAUAGAAAGGGAUGAGACUAUAUCGUAUCAGCUAGUCGGUGGGGUAAAGGCCUACCGAGGCUAUGACGCGUAACUGGGCUGAGAGGAUGAUCAGUCAAAUUGGAACUGAGACACGGUCCAAACUCCUACGGGAGGCAGCAGUAGGGAAUAGUGCGCAAUGGGCGAAACCCUGACGCAGCAACGCCGCGUGGAGGAUGACAAUUUGCGGAGCGGAAACUCCUUUUGUUAGGGAAGCGGUACCUAACGAAGAAGCACCGGCUAACUCCGUGCCAGCCGCCGCGGUAAUUC
rnacentral:rRNA from 1 species